AAUCACCGCACCACUUUUCCGAUCACCUUUCCCCAUGCUCCCCACGCCUGAGCCUGCUCUGCUUCGUUGUUAUGCCUGCAUACACCCAGUCUCCUUGCCUUCAAGGAGGUGGAUCUGAGAUUUGUUCUGCGGUCUCCUCGCUUGGCUGACUCCUGAGUAAACCCUCACUUAGCUGCAAACCUUGAUGUCUCGGUGUUUUCGCUCACUGUGCUCGAGCAGGAGGAACCUGGUUCGGUAACACCAAGGGGCGGAUUUGCCUCCUCCAGGUAAACUUAGAGCUGCCAUCUUGGUGUAGCCAGCAGUGCAUCGGUCUCACAACCUGAAGGUCUUGAGUUCUAGGGCUGAGUUUGACAUCCAGUGACCUGUUACACCCUAGGAUGAGAAGUCCAUCAUAGGGCAGGACAGAGAUGGAAAAAGCUGGAGUAUUGGAAGCUAUCUAAGGAUGAUUUCUGUCAAAACAAGGAAAUAAACCAAGAGAGAAGAGAACUGUGAUCCAGGCAACAGGAGAUCUAACACAGCAGAAAGGUGAAAAAAAUCCCAGGAUCAUGGCAAAAAGGAAGUAUCCAUAUGAUAGCUGUAUAGUAGGCCUAGAGUACAUAUUUUAGCAGGAGGUCAAAUGUCUCCGCUAGGCAGGUAUUCAGAAAAAUAAAAUAUGCUUGAAAAUGAGAUAAAGGCUAUGAUCAUAUGAAAAAAUGAGGCAUUUCACAGAGCUUUUCUGGGGUGACAGUCAUAGGCUGAAAGUAAACCAAGUCAAAAGGGGGCAAUUCUUAACUCCAGUAAAAAAAAAAAAAAAAAAAAGAAGUAGAGGAAGUAAAUGUAAUCAGAUGCAUUUUCUUGGCUCAGCAGUGAACAAUAUUUAAAAAGUCAUCAUGGAAACACAAUGUUUUUAAGCAAAAAUUGAGGCAUAAUUAUAUUGAGAGGAAAAUAGAGGGUAAAAUUGAGUCAAAAUGAUUAAAUCUUACGAAAGAAGUUGUCAGGUAAGAUUUAAAUUGAUUAAGCAAGAUAUAACACUACAUUGAUAUUCUUUUGACCUGUGGAGAUAAUUACCAAAUAAAAUAGCUAAAUUUUAAAUGUGUUUGUUUCUGAGGUGUAGGACAGGUCUGAAAGUGUCAAGGAACGAUUUCUAAAAAAUAAUCAUUUCAGGGAUAGUUUUUUUUUUUAACCAGUUUUAUCUGACAACACAUUUAUUUCCAAUAAAUACUAAUUUAAAAAAGCAAUUUGGCUUAUAUUUCUGAUUAUUAAAAAUGUGUUCCAUAGUCAUGCCCCCUAACAAGUCACUUGAGGUUUUCUAAUAUUUUUCUGUUGAAAAUAUAAGUGUAAUUGCUUGCAGUAUGACAAUUUUUGCUAUAUUAAUUCUACUUUUUUUUUUUUUUUGCUUCAUGUUAGUGCAGUUCAUUCCCCUUCAGCUCACAUGGUAAAUUAAUUGGAAUCUUCUUAAGAAUCCUUUUGAUACUCUCAUUAAGAUUACCCAUUUGAGAUCAAAUUACGUUAAAAGUAAAAUGGUUUCUGAGUUCCAAUUUAUCUCUAGUUUAUGGCAUUUGGGAACCUAAUUUAUCUAAUGAUGAUCAUCCUAAACUGCUAGGCCAUGGGUGGUAAUGGGUACUCAAUCAUUUCUUAGAAUAUUGUAUUUCUAAAGAUUCUAGUUAUAAAUCAAGAUGUAAAAAAAUAAGUUGAUUCAUUAAAAGUCUAUAGCAAAGUUAAAAAGCUACUCUUAUAAAAAGGUUUUUAAAUGUCUGCUAAUUCACUUUGAGUCUAACUGAUAUAAUGAUGUAAUGAAAGAUCAUUUUGGAAUUGAGUUUGAAUUUCUACAUUUGGAAACUAAAUAUUACCCAGAUUGGGCCCUGGGACCUAAUUUGCAUCCAAUCUAAUAUUCAAAUCCAUUGUCUUUUGGCUUUUCAAAAAUAAUCCUAUAUUAAAUAUGUUUUUACUUAUCUAAAAAUCAUCUUUAUACUUGUAAGAACACAUAUAUUGCUGUUUGGUUCUAAAGUUAUGGUCACAUGAAGAUAUACAUAAAGGUGCAUUUAGUAUUGUGCUUAAAUCCAAUAUAAAUCUUCAGUUUGGCACCAUGGUUAGGGAAUGAGGGGGUCUAUAUAUAGCAGCAGCCAUAGCAAUAACUGUUGGGGAGAAUAUAAAUCAUGGGAAACUUCAGAGAGCUAUGCCACCUGAGAGUAUAAUAAAAAGAGGAAAAGGGGAGCCAUUAAAACAGGUAUACCAAGGGGUAUAAAACACCAGUGACAUACUUGAGGGUAAAGAAUAUUUCAAAAAUGUAUCCCUAAACUAACAUCUCAUUUUAUGCACAAGAAAUAUCACAAUAUUCACAUCAAGUAUCAAUAGAAGAUAAAUACACAUCAAACAAUUUCCAAUUAAAAAAACAGUCAACUAGAAACAAACACACUGAGAAGGGAUAGCAAAUAGUGCAUGCAUUUUAUCACUAUCUCAAAUUGUUUCAAGAGUCACAGGACUGAAUGAAAUAAUUUCAGUGGUUUCUGUAAACUGUAUGGCAAUCCUCAUCACUUCAAAUAAGAUAUGUAGGCAAAUAAACUUACUUUUAUAACUGUCUAGUAUGCUUUUCUUAAAACAUACUCAUAAGCCACAUAAAUCCUCAUUUCUCCUUGUGUAGUUUCAUCUAUACUUAAGGUUUACUAAAUUCUAACAAGCUAUAGUACAAAAUAAUUGGCACUCUGCUGUAACAGACGGAAAUAAUGUGUACAUGGAAGCGAGGUAAAAUAAAAUUGACAGCUGAAAUCUGAAGUUAACGCAGGAAUCACCAUAAAACCUAGCAACUCUAAAUCACGGAAAUUGAUAGAGGUGAUAUCCCCUCUAUGUUAUUACAUAUAUACCUCUGCGAUUUGUUAACUAAUUGAAUAAGGGUAUUUGUCAUAUUCUUGUCUAAGAACAUGACAGUGUCCAAAUGUAAGGAAGAGUAGAAGAAAGUCUACCUGAUGAAGGAAAAAAACCAAACAAAACCUUUUUAACAAAGCAUCCAAUGCUAUAUCUAACCAGAUAAAAGAAAGUGAAGGGAGGUCACUAUCCGGAUAACUUACUGAUACAUCUUGUUAUUGGAAAUUGAUAGUAACACAUGUAUCAUUCACACUGCCUCAAUUGGUCCUCUGCUUUGUGUGUGCGUGCGUGUGCAUGUGUGUGU